AAGUGAUGACAGCUAAGCCUUUAUUUAAUGAAAGAAAAAAAACACAGCGAAAAUGGCAGUCAAUAUGUACAGGCAAUGUCUGUUUACAAUUAUGGGUGGCAAAUAGAUAAACCACAAGUGUUUACUGUGCACCUAAAUGCCCCAGUGCUGAAGGCUAUGUAGGGCAAAUUAAAAGGAGUGAAAAACACCUGACCUGAACAUUCAGCCAAAGAGCUUGCAGUCUAACCAAAGAGACAGGACUAAAAUGAUGAAAGACUACUGGAGAAGACUGAAUGGCAUAUUGUGAAAGGAAGGAGAGGGAUGAGCUGAUCACUAGGUAAAGUGAGAGGUUUAGCUGUACUGUUUCCCUGCUCCAGGGACAAGAUGUGUCCACACACAGGCUCUGUUUCUGAGAAAGCAAAAGCAUGUGGAAAGCUGGCCUGGUAGAGAAAUGGGGGAUAAGGGAGCAUGAGACUAGCUAAAAGGUACUACUGAGAAUUAUAAACAUCUCACCUUUCCCUUGUCCUUCUGCAGAGCCCCCAGCUAUCAAUACAUUACAGCAGGAUGAGAAAGACCCAGGCCUUUGACAUCCCAGGCUUUGACAGGCCCAGGCUUGACAGUGUCUUGGCACAAUGUUGUGGGAAGAAUAAGCACAAUGAAGAGGUGCCUCAGGAAGAGGACACACUCAGCCACCCACCUCAUGGGACUGCUAUGAGAAUGACUGAAAUAAUUAAUUGUGAAGAGCUUUGUGCCCCUGGGAGUAAGAACACUAUGACACAACUGGAGAAACUGGUUAUUUUACCAAGGCUUAGGCUGGAAUGGUGUGCUUUCCUUUAAAGAAUCAAACUUGACUUAUGGAGCCAAUAAAAGCCUCUUGGGAAAACUGGCCUCAUACAUGUCUACACAGUCCCUGUAUAGGGUUCCUGACCUGUGAUAUAUUAUAAAACAAGAAAUUUAGUUCCAAUGUAUCCAAGCUGUCCCUUCGGAAGGUGAUCAGAAGAGAGAAAUGAGUUUGGAAAAGAAAAGGAAUAGCUGAACAAGAGCAAGUGAUUUCAGAAAUCUAAACCCUGAGAAAACAUGGGUAACAGAGAAGAACUUCUGCUGUGAUAUCUACUUCUGCAGGGAGUAGAGAAACAGAAGUAGAAGGUAAAUCUGAGAUGAGCACAGAGAUAUCAAGUGAAUUGCCCAAGGUCACCAACUAGUAAGCAGUGAAGCCAGCAUUUGGUACUUUGGUAGCUCUGACUCGGCAGGCUGUUCUACCCCUCUUUGGGAAAAGCGUCGCAAAUGAGCACACAGCUUCAGGGUGAAUUCUUACAGCAAAGAAAAGGAAAUGGGAUAGCACAGCCCUGCUAUGUCAGAAGAACCAACAUCAGACAUCAGUGGAUUCUCAUAGCAACAUCUCCCCACUGCUUCCUCUUGACACACAGGAAAAAUGUUCCAGAAUCAACUGGGAAGACUGGCAUUUCAUUUAUAAAUGUAAUUCCCAGGCUGGGUCGGUAACUCCUCCAAUCUUUCCAAUUACGUUCAUUUCAGAUAUAGGGGACAGAAAUGCUCCAGAAAAGAACUAGACCAUAUUUGGAGGAGGAGAGAAGGAGUACACCCUUCAUCUGUGUUGUGAACUAUGUGGAGGAGAGUAGUAUGUUACAGUACAGAGAGUCUUGGGGAGGCCAUGUGCAUGUGUCUUCAGGCCUCCACCUCCUUUCAACUUGAGGAGCUCUGCUUUUCCUUCUAUUUUAGAGGGGUUACCCAAAAUCUCAUCUGAAAUCUGGGUUCCAUGGCUAAAGAAGUUUAAAAACUGAUAGUGCCAUGACAAAGCCCUGGAUCAGAAGUCACAAAACAAGAAUCCAAGAAUCUCUCUCUCAGUUUGGCCACAAACAAGUCAUGAUUAAUCCUGGGCCAACUACUUCCUUGGGAAACACCACCAUCUCUCAGUCAGCAAAGACAGAACCAGAGAGAGAGACUCUGCAAGUUCAGGAAGAAAGGUUCCAACUACUUUUACUCUCCGUUGCAUCUCCUAAUGUCACCACUUCCUCAGAGCAGGGUUUAGUCACUACUACAAAACAUUGCUCAGGAACUGCAGAGCCACUAGCCUGGCAUGUGGUGACACAUUCCCAACACAAUUCUCUAACAUUCUGAUUUCCCUUGCAAAGAUAAAUUCAAGCGAACUUAGAACUCUUAAAGAUCAGAUUGAGAUUGAAUGCCAUUGGCUUUCUCCCCAUACCUAUGCUCCUACACAUCUCUUCAGCCCAGCACAGGGUUUUAAAAGCUCACUGCUUAACACAGGGCUAUCUCCUCUGCUGGUUAUGAGCUGCAAGGAUAGAGUCCAUGUCCUGUUUGUGUUGGUGUUCCUGGCCACUAGCCAAGAACCUGCAGCCCAGCCCUAGAAUAGCAGUUGAAUGAAUGUGGCAGCCCACACACUCAAAGACACCAGAAUUAUCUUACCCUUUCCCAGAGAGCUUCAGGUACCUUUCUUUUCCUAAAUGAGUCACUAAUGUGUCUGUAUAAAUAUGGUUUCCAUAUAUGUCACAGAGCCCAAACAUUUCAUCUGACUUACUGUGGUUUACUUUUUGUGACUGCAUUUUUAUUAUAUCUUAUAUAAAAAGGGGGAUAUAACAGAAGGAAAAAACAGUAAAGCAAAAACCCAUAUCUAGCUUCAGAGCAUUACAUAUCCACUGGAAGCCCUAAAGCAAUGCUCCAUGAUCGCAUGGCCUUUCCGCUGCAUAACCCUGAGGUCAUUUUUUGAUACAUAAUUCUCAAAGUAUGCAGUGCUGAAAGACCUUGAAGAGCUUUCUUAAAUGAUGUUAUGGUUAAAAUUUCUAUGAUUGCAGUCCUUGAAAUCAUAAAAGAAUAAAUACAUCCUUGGAAAAGAUCUCACUUCUCUUCUUCUUCAUUCCUUCACAAUUCAGCCCCCACCUCUCAAGGAGCUGUCUAGAGCAUGGCGAGCAAGCUAAUGCUUUCCCAGAGUUUAUGACAGAUGCCAGUUUUAGUGUUCCCCAAAUGCUAACAUUAAUACACACAACUACUGUAUAGGGUAGUCACCAUUACCACCCCUAUCUGAGGUAUGAAGUUAGAAAUGUAACAAGUGACAGAGGUAGAAUUUGAACGCAUCUGAGUCCAGGCUCCUGGAACCAUGCUAUGUUGUGAUUUUCUGGGAUCUUGGGCUAUUUUUACAAUUAGAGAUGUGACCCAAGGGCAAUGGAUUUCCAUCCUGGUGAGUUCUUCUGGGGAGAGACUGCACUUCUCCCAGUCCUGUCCCCAACUCUUCCUCCUCACAGUUACCAUGUAGGAGCAUGAAAACUAUCCAUGUUUGCCCAGUAAGGUGGCAUUCUUCCAAACAUUAGCUGGCCCCACCUUAUAACACAUAAGCGAGAAGCUCUAGGUCACUUGACCUCAGGGCACAUGCAAAUGUUUAUCAGGCUGCCCAGUGACUUGUAGAGGCGGCAUUUCCUGGAAACAUCAUGGUUAGACAUUUCAUUCAGUGAGGUGUUCAGAACAUCUGAAUCACUCCUGUUGCCUAGCAACUUGUUUGUGUUUGGCAGGAUGAAGACAACUCAGGCACAGGUACAGUCGGAUAUAAGGCAGAAAUCUAUUCAGCACGACGUCCUCCCAACACUAGACUGCUGAUUUAGUGCUUAAACUUGACAGUGUUCUUUCCCACUUUCUCACUCUUGGUAGAGGCUCCUUCAGUCAUUCUCUUUAAGUCAGGAGCAUUCAAAAGGCACUAUGCUGUACACAGAAUAAACAGGUCCUUUGUAGCUGAAAUAUAGGCUACUAUUUUUCCUACAGAGUUUUGAAAAAAAACUUUUAAGACAAAGCUAAUUACAGGGUUCUUACAUAUAAAAGGGAAAAGAGUUAUACAGUAUCAUGGAAAUUACUUGUCAUCCUUAAAAGAAUUAGUUCUUUCACAUAUUCGCAUAUCUGUCCCUUUUCUUUGAUAACAAGAAUUGAUUAGCACAAUAUAAGUAGCUUCGGAAUCAAGGAGGUUCACCCUCCAAUACCGUCAUAAAUACAAAUAUAUAGCAAAGCUGGCCUAAAGUCACCUUACUAACCUUCAUCUUCAAAUUUAAGUUAGCAUGUGUGCCUGGGUUACUCUAGGAGCCAAAAAUCUAGAACAAAACACUGUGGGCUUGCAUUCCAUAUACAUUCUCCGACAGUUACGGCUUUUCCUCUAUUAUUUUAGGUCUCCGCUACUUUCCCAGUCAUUUCUAUGCGUUAAAUACUCAGAGAAAGAAAAGUGGUUUUAGAAAAGCCGCCCCCACCACCACCCCAAUACUGGGAUUUCUGUUGUUGUUUCUUUCGUUUUUGCUCUUCUUGUCAGAGGACAUGCCUGCUAUAGAAACAAGAAAAUAAGAUGUAAGGGUGUGCUUAAAUGUUACUCCUAAUCUUAGUGGGACAGUCCUGAGUUCUAGAUUUAUUAAAUGUUUAUGAACAGGAGGAUACAAAAGUUGUUUAGAAAAUUUUAUUUUUUCUUCCUUUCAUCCAAUAAUAUUCAUCCUUACCUUGGGGUUUCAGUAUCCUGAUAUUUGUAAGAACUAUUAAAAAUCAAAUAGAUAUGAAUUACUUCACUUUUUUAACAACUAUAAAAUGGGUAUAUGAGUUUACUUAGCAAAGAUUUUCAACUUAAACAUGUUAAUCCUUUAUCUCCUCCAAAAUAUUUUUCUUUUUGAAAGGCAUAUUUAAGGAAAAAAAUCUUUCCAUAUUAAAAAAUUCUUGAAUUCCACCAAAGUCCAUAACAGAUUUAAGAAAAGAGUACCCUCAUUAUCUAGAACUGGCUAACUGUAGGCUGCAAUUACUAGUGGCAAGAAAUAAGGGGGUUGAAUCACUCUCCAAACUAUUUCAAAGUCCUUAACCACAUCUCUCAAGCAAGUUUUCUAAUUUGGGGUUCGUAGUUGAUAGGUGGACCUCCUGAAGCCCUGUAAAAUGUUUUGGCUCAUGCAUAUAACCAGAAGUAGAAAGCUUAUUUCUUCAGAUUCUCAAAAUCGAAUUUAGGUCUUGGGAAAUCAAAUUGCCAGCAGAUAACUGAGGAUUUAACCUCAUGAAUUUGUUGCUGACUACCUGCUUAAUAUAAAUUGCAGUAACAUAAAAGAAGAAUGUUUGUUCCCAUGCUGAAACUGAAGAUUUCUAAUAAUUAAAUAGCAGUAGAGCCCCAUCUAUGACAGCAAGCCAGUUUACUGCAUUUGUAUACCCUGAGAGCUAAAUUACCACUAAUUGUCUCAUCUUUCGAAAAUGUAUUUAAACUUCAUUAGAUAUGUGAAUGUCUGUUAUGGCCAGGCGAAAGAGACCGACCUAGUCCCUGGCCUCACAAAGCUUGCAGUCUGGUUGGAGAAACAAACAAAUCAUUAUCACACAGGGAGAUAAAUGUUUAGAUAAUUGAAAGUUCAGGAUGCUAUAAGAACACAUUGCCAAGGCACGCAACCCAGUCUGACAUUUAAGCUAUGAGAAUUGGCAAAAUAUCCAGACGCUGAUGACAGCAGGUACUCUCACAAGUUUCUAGUAGAUAUGUAAUAAGAAAACCUUGGCCAGGUGCAGUGGCUCAUGCCUGUAAUCCCACCACUUUGGGAAGCCGAGGCAGGCGGAUUACCUGAGGUCAGGAGUUCGAAACCAGCCUGGCCAACAUGGCGAAACCCCAUCUCUACUAAAAAUACAAAAAUUAGCCAGGCGCAAUGGUGGGUGUCUGUAAUCCCAGCUAUUCAGGAGGCUGAGGCAGGAGAAUUGCUUGAACCCAGGAGGUGGAGAUUGCAGUGAGCCGCCGAGAUCGCACCAUUGCACUCCAGCCUGGGCAACAGAGAGAGGCUCCGUCUCAAAAAAAAAAAAAACACCUUCCUCUCAGAGAUGCAAUUUAAUGAUAUCUAUUAAAAUUACACAUACACCUUAUGACCUGCAAUUCUACUUUACAAGUUUAUAUAGAUAUAUUGUCUACAUGCAAAAUAACCUACAUACAGUUACUUACUGCAGUACUGUUUAAGAGCAAACAAUUGGCCACAACCCAAAUGUUGUCCAUCAAUAGAUCACUAUUUUAACUGUGGAACAUCCAUAAAUGGACUCUGUUAUUCUGUAACUGCUUUAAAAAAAGAAUGAGGAAAGUGUCUUAGUACUAGCUUAUUAAGUCCUCCUACAUAUAUUGUAAGGAAAAAAAACAUACAUUGCAGAGAAAUAUAGUACGCUAUCUUUUACAUUAUGAAGAGGGCAAAUAGGAAUAUUCCUAUUUGCUUAUUUAUGCAUAAAGAAAUUCUAGAAGGAUGCUUUAGACAUUGACAGAGGCUGAGAGGAUGGUGGAGGCAGAAUUUGGGCAGACUCUGUGAAUGCGAAAUGUAUGAAAAUGGUAUACUUAAAAAGUAAUCCUUACAUCAAGUGUGUGGGACAUUGCAAAGGAAAAAAAAAACAGUAAUCCUUUAUUUUUCAAGCCCAAGUUAUAUCAACCUAGCACCUUUUUUUGGUUUAUUAUUUUAACACACUUCUAAAAUUCUGCAGUGAUUAAAUUAGAACAUACGACUACUUUAUUUUCCAAAUCAGGGUUUCACUCUCUCCUUUCCUGCUUGUGUCCAUCUGCCAUCCUGAAGGGGGUUUCCCCAGAGUACCUGAGAGCGAGGCAAGUCCUCUGUGCCUCCCUGCUCUGGUUUGUUGGCUGAGGAUAUUCAAGAGCUUUUUUUAAAGCUCAUGAAAGGAUUUUGUUUUGUUCACUGCCUCAUUCGCAACACUGACAAGAAUGCCUGGCACAUAGAAAGCGUUCAGUAAGUAUUUGUUGAAUAAAUGAAUUCUUUUCUUCACUCAGCUUCAAUGAGACAGACACCACCAGACAAAGGGAAAGAUAUCAAAAUGGUGUCAAAUAUUUAGAAAUAGCUGCCAUUCUUAGUGCCAGCUCAAAGUAGGCAUUCUAACCUUAGCAACAUUCCUAGAAUUAUUGUGAAUUUCACAGAAGACAAAUAAUGUUAUAGAAUACUGUGCUGAAUAAUAUUAACUACCUACAAAUAUUUAUUUUAAAUGAUUUGGGAUUACAUGGUCCUGGUGUCUAUCUUAGGGUAGAAAUCUUUUUAGGCAAACACCACAAUAAACAGUAAUGAUAAAAAGUAAAAAAAAACAAAACAGCUAUCAUCAGGGUCAAAUGAACCCUAGUCUUAAGGUGCCCAGAGAUAUAGCAAGAAAAGGGAAACUCUUUUGCACUAAAAAAUGCAACUAUUUUUAUUUUCAAGAAUAAAAUUAUACUUGAAAUAAAAUUCCAAGUACUCUAGGCAGUGAAUUGAGUUGUACUGCUUCAACCACACAAGCAAAACCUCUUCUUCCUCAGUGGGCAUAGAAUGGGUAUAACUGCCACAGCUCUUUAAUUUUGGUUUAGAUAACUAUAAAAACAGAAUAACUUUGCUAGUAAUUUCCGUACUGUUGCUGAAAGGUGCAUGGCUGACUGAUAUCUCUUUGAAGAUUUUCUGUUUUCUUAAGGCAUGGUUGAGACAGUUAAUUGAGUGCUCUCUUUUGGCAGUAAUGCAAACAGGUUAGAAAGUUAUGGGGUUACCUCUAUUUCUCUGGCUGUCAUUUAAAACGGCAAUCCAAGACCGAGAAAACAUCCAUUCACCUGAAAGAACUUGAAAUUUAAGACUCUCCUGAGGAUGAAAUAAAAAUUCUCAGAGUUACGACAUUUAUGAAUGUCUUAACCAGAGAAGGGAAGAUAGCAGCAGCAAAGCUGCAGGACAACUGAUAGACAGCCAACCUUCAGCUGAUGUAAGUUAGACUCAUGCUAUAGCAGCAGGAAGCACCAAACCUACUGUUUCCAGAUGGUAGCACAGCAAUUCCCACCUUGGUCCUUGCAGCAGUCAACACUCCCAGUCUCUGGCAGGUCCUUUUGGAGAAGAGUGUUAUAGGGCCACAGGAUGCAGCUCUAGGGGAAGAAAAAGUCAGAGAUUAAAUAAGAAUGAGGCUUUGUUGCUAUGUUUUGCUAGUUUUCUGGGGGUGGAGGUGGAAUGAAGAGCCCUCUGAUGCUACCCUCCUAGAGCUCUCCAAUACUGGCCCUCUAGGAGAGUUGCCAGGAAAACACUGGCUAUAACAGGUACUGACACUUCAGGUCAAGAAAAGCAACUCAGCCAUUCACUCCACUAAUAUUUAACACCUGCCAGCCCCUAUUUAAAGUUGGAGCAGGGCAGGCAGGCAGAUUCCCUUGCCUCCUGAUGUUCGCGUUCUAACACAGGAACACACAGAUAAACAAGAAGACCAGUCAAUGUCACUCAAAAAAGUCAGUCAGAGUCAGGGCAAGGCUGAUGUGGUCGAUGUAGAGCAAGUGGUGUCAGGGAAGCCUUUCUAAGGGGAUAUUUAAGACUUAAUAAGGGUUGGGGAUGGGGGGGGUGGGGCAGCUACAAAAGAAGAGUAAGCCAGGCAGAGGGAACGGCUGGGCUGGCCCAAAGGCCCUGAGGCAAGAAUGAGCCAGGAAGGUUUAAAAAGAAUGGAAAGCACGGCGGGAGUAUUGUGAACUAGGCAUAGAGAAGGGAAGAGGAGUGCAGAGGGCUUUAUAGGACAGUAGAAGGACUAUGUACAUAAAGGGCAAACUAAGUGUCACAGAAACUUAGGUUGAUGUGCUGUGCAUAAUCUGUCACCUUCUACUAAAUGGUGGAAGAUUUCCUUUGAAAUACAUACAGUUGCUGCAGUCUUUCAAUGGAUUUUUUAGUUGAAAUUUGCCUUGUGGAUGGAAGCAAAAUAUAGGCUACUGGCCAGAGGUCUGCAGUUCAUAGAACCACAAUAUGAAUAUCCAAAGAAUACAACCUGAGACUACCCAAUAGUGCAUAUAUGUAUAUGAUUUGGUAGCAUAUAUAUAUAUAUAUAUAUAUCUUUUAACUACCUAACAAAUUUCAUUAAAAUCUGUUUAACAACUGCAGGAUGUACACUCAUGUGCAACCAGAAAUCGAUUUUUAGUUGAGAUCCCAUCUUAAUCAAAAAUACUCAACUCUUGGAAGAAACUCAAGAACAAAUGUGUCACUCUUAGGUAUAUACCCCCCAAAAAAAUGAAAACACCAGUCCAAGCAAAAACUGUACACAAAUAUUCAUAACAGCAUUAUUCAUAAUGGCCCCAAAGUGGAAAAAACCCAAAUGUCCAUCAACUAUUAAAUGGAUAAACAAAAUGUGGCAAACCCAUAUAAUAUUAUUGGGCAAUGGAAAGGAAUAAGGCAGUGAUACACACUGUAGCACGAAUGAAUCCUGACAACAUUAUUCUAAGUGAAAGAAGCCAGUCACAAAGACCACAUGUUAUAUGAUCCCAUUUAUAUGAAAUGUGCAGAAUAGGCAAAUCCAUAAAGACAGAAAGAUUUGUGGUUGCCAAGGGCUAGGGGAAGAAGAGAAUGGAAAGUGAAUGCUAAUGGGUAUAGGGUUUCUUUCUGGAGUGCUGUAAAUAUUCUAGAAUUAAAUAGUGGGGUUGGUGGCACAACUCUGAAUACACCAAAAACUACUGAUUUGUACACUUUAAAAAGGCCAGUUUUAUGGUAUGUGAAUUACAUCUCAGUGCAACUGUUGUAAAAUUAAAAGAACAAAAGAAUAUCUGAAAUGCUGUGAACAGAUGAAAUAAACUUCAACUGGCCCAAAAUGCUAUAUUCCAGUAAGCAUUACUAGACCCCAUUAAAAGGGACAAGCAGUUUAGUUUUACACUUCAGAUACUGUACACUACACUCCCCAUGGUACAUGUUUACCCCUCUGGAAAGAUCACCUUAUCCUUGGAGGAUGUUUUUCUCGUUUCACUUGGAACCCUUCUCCGGUUAUCACCCUCUCUCGACUCCACCUACCAUCCCCACUCACUCCACGCAAAUAAAAUUAAAGCAGAUAGUUGCUUUUGCACUCUAACUCAAGUCUGUGGACAAUUACAAUUGUUUAGAGCAUGGUAUUAAUGAUAUUUCUAAUAUGGUCAGCUUAUAGAUUUUAUUCAGUUACGUAGCCAAACCUAGCACUUUUCAUCUAGUCAAGCUGAAAAUGUGUGCCCUUGUCAAAAAGGAGAAUGGGCAAAAGGGUAGAUACUGGAAAUGCAAAACAAAUUCAAGCUUACUACUCCAAAAUCCCUUUCUGUAUAUAUCUUAACAUGGUGUUACAUUAAGACUACAUUCAUUUUAAAUAGUAUCUUAUAAGUUCAUGAUUUAUUUUAAAGUAUAUGUAGAAUGUAUAAUUUCACAAAGGAAUAAAGUAAAUUAUAUAACAACAGCAAAAUACUACUGUGAGAUGAUUAAUGUAGAAUCACAGAGGCAGGUAAAUAUAGAGAAGGUUUCUUGAUCACAAGGUGUAGUGGAAGAGGGAAUGCUAUCUCCUGGGACUGAAUAUUGUUCUACCUGCUCCCGGUAGCAAAUCACUGCAGAGACAGCAAAGCUUGAUGUUUAUGAACAAGGAUUCUGAAGGCCAACUCCACACUUAGCAUGACUCCACGAUUAAGUAUUAUGGCUCCAGGCAUGAUACUUAAUUUCCCUGAGCCUUAGUUCCCUCAUCUAUAAAUAGUACUAACUUAACAAGGUCCUUAAAAGAAUCAAAGGUUAUAUAAAAACAAAAAUAGAUCUAAAGGGAGAGACAGAUUGCAAAACAAUAAUAGUAGAGGACUUCAACACCCCACUUUUGGCAAUGGACAGAUCAUCCACGCAGAAAAUCAGUAAAAAACAUUGGAAUUAAACUAUACUCUAGACCAAAUGGACCUACUAACAGACAUUUACACAACAUUUCAUCCAACGGCUAUACAAUACACAUUCUUCUCAGCAGCACAUGGAACAUUCUCCAGAAUAGAUCAUAUCUUAGACCACAAAACAAGUCUCCACAAAUUCAAAAAAGUCACUAUUAUAUCCAAGUGUCUUUUCUGAAUCCAAUGGAAUAAAACGAAAAAUCAAUAACAAGAAGAGCUUUGGAAACUGUGCAAAUGUAUGGAAAUUAAGCAAAAUGCUCCUGAACAAUCAACAAAGAAAUUAAGAAGGAAAUUUAAACAUUUCUCAAAAUAAAUGAAAAUGGAAACACAACAUACCAGAACCUAUCAGAUACAGCAAAAGCAGUACCGAGGGAAUUUUAUAGCACCAUAUGCCUACAUCGAAAACAUAGAAAGACUCCAAAUAAAUAACCUAAUGGUGUACCUCAAGGAACUAGAAAAGAACAAAUCCAAAAUUAGUAGAAGGAAAUAAUAAACAUCAAAGCAGAAAUAAAUGGAGAAAAAAGAAAGAACCAAAGGAGUUAAUACUAAUAAAGACAUCAGAAACAGCACCUGGUAUAUAGUAAGCAUUAUAUGUAUUUGUUAAAUGAUUAAAAUAGAGCAUACUAGUUAAGUCUUGCAAAAUGACUAAAACUGUACUGCAUAUUUGGCUCUCAACUCCUUUGUAGAUAGAGGGGAAAAAAUUUUCCAAACUCAGAGAAAGAGAGAAAAUGCAUAUAUCUCCAUAUGUGUUUGGAGGAAGGCAAGUGGGAACCAUAUUUUGUUCCUCAGGAGGAAAAAGAAAGCAUUUGACACUUAACUUUAAUAUGGUCUGUACACAAGAGGCAAUGAGCAAUACUGCAGACCAGGGAAGACCGCCAUAUGACGUCACUUGAUAGUUUUUCACUGUUUCUCAAUAAAUCCCAAGGCAUAACUCUCUACAAUUUCUGUAGUAGGAAGACAAGGCAAUGUGAUACAAAUAUACAGCUCUGAUGAUCGGCUCACAACUGCACCAGAAAUCUCCAAUCCAUCUUUUACUUCCAUUUCCCUCUGCCAUGCUUCUGAUAACCAGAGCUGAGGAGGAGACAGUUCCAGAUCUCUGAAACAAAUUCUCCAACAUUAGGAGAUGGCCAAAAUAUAGCCACAUAAAAACACUAAGUAACCUGAUGCAUUGAAAAGCAACUCCCCCUAGAAGCAUCUGUUUUUAAGUUUAAUGGACUUCAGAGCCAUUGUCUGGCUAAAGAACAGCCAUAAUCAUCUCAGGGGAUUAAACAACUUGGAAGAAUAUUCCUAUUAGUCAUAGUCAUCUCAGGCUCCACCUAACAGUUAAACACAGAACUUUUAUGAAUUACAAAAGCUAUUAUGCUUAAGCCAUGUUUUAUUGUAAAUUGGACAGUAGAUAACUUUUCUUUAAAAGACUAGUUAUACGGUGCAAACCUUAGCUAGAAAACGACCCGUCUUCCUUCAGAUAGUCCCAUAUUGUACAUGGAAGACACGAUAAAGUUGAAUUUCCACAGCUAUUACACAGUCCUGUGACUAAGCUGAUGUCCCAGUGAUUUAUCAGCCGUUUUCAUUCCAUCUGGCAAAGCAUGUUGUUCUUAAGGCUAAUUAUUUAACAAUGUUUUCUUCAGAUAAAAUGGUAAUAAUCUUAUUAAUCAACUAUAGCAAUGUAUUUUCAUUUGCAUACCUAUGGAGUAUUGCUAAAGAGAAUAGAAAAUAGAUUAAUUCCCUUGCGGUUCACGUACACUAAAUGUAGCAUUCUGCAAGGAAGGAGAGCAAGAGAUGGCAUUUAUAACUAACUCCUGUGCAUUCUUGGAGAAGCUUUUUUUGACCAUUCCAGACCGCAUUUGGUUUCCUUUCCCUUGCUCCACGUUACUUUCUACUUUUUCUCUGACUUAACAGUUUGCUAACUGUAACUUUGGUCAGUUAUUUGUAGAGAUUUACUUGUCUCUUUCCAGUGAGACUGCAAGCUCUGUGAGGGAAGGGAUCACAUGUGUCAGAUUCUCUGCUGUCUUUCUGGCACAGAAUUGAGGGUUAUAAAUAUUUGUUCACUGACUAACUCCCAUUUUAUAAGAUAAGCUGUGUUCCUAAAGAAUCACAUGUCAGUUCCUCUCAAGAUAAGGAAGUCACUGAAGUAAUCUUAUAAGGGGAGGGAGUAAGCCCCACUAAUAUCAUUUAAUAUUAUGAAACAGUGACCCACAAGUUUGAACUUACAGAAGCAGAGUCCAUGGAUAUGGCUAUGGCAGAUGUGACUGAGGGGGAGGGAGAAAAGGAGUGGGGAGGAAUGACCCACUAAUUUAGAUGGGUACUUUCAGAGUGAAAGUUUAUUAUAAGAGCUCAAAUAGUGUUUUCUAAUUAUAGACUGUUAAAUUUAAAAUAUAUUGAAAGGCAACUCUGUACUUCUCUCUGCCCAAUGCAGACUGAAUUAAAAUAUCCAAGAAACAGGACUUUUUUUUUAAGCCCAGAAAGCCUGACACACCUAUUAAAAAGUUCUGUCUCAUAAGCUCUGCUUUCUACAGUUUCUGUUAGGUCUUCCAUGGCCCAGACAAUUGGCAAUCUUGUUCUUUCUUUCAUGACACAAAGUUGUUAUAUCCAAAUGAUUAACCUCCUAAGGUUAAAGUCAUGAGCGAUGACAAGAAGGUCAUAUAAUAUCAUAACAGUAAAAAUUAAAUAAUUUUAAACAAAUGCCUUCAAACCUUCACAAUAAAAGAAAAUAAACUCUUAUACUUUAACAUUUAAAGUGAGAAAGUGUUUAACCUUACCAGUGAGAAAAGAAACUCAAAGAAGUGAGAUACCAUUUUUCUACAUAUUAAAUUGACUCUUUAAAAUACCAACAUAAAAUUAUUACACUGCUUUCCAGGGCUAUUGUAAAAUAUAUUUCAUAUAUUCUAUAAACCUCCUAAGAACAUCAACAAAGAUUAGUUCUGAGCCUAUUAACCAAGACAUUGCCAGUAACAGUAAAAAAAAAAAAUGAGAAACAAGUGUCCAAUAAUAAGAGACAUGUUAAAAACAACAUGGUGGGUAGGUACAAUGGAAUAAUGAAAUGCUCCUAUCACAGUUAGUGGGGAAUGAUAAGAGGUGCAUUAUAUAUUCAUGGGUAUAAAACAAUGAUAUGUGUAUGAUCCUAUUUCUCCUGUUUCUACAAGUUGCAUGUGUAAAUAUAAAUGUGACUAGAAAGAUAAUGCAAAAUGCUAACAUAUAAUAGAUUUAUAGAUGACUUAAAUUUUUCUUUUGCUUAUCCAGGCAUAACAUUUCCUAAAAUAAACAUGAGUUGCUAUUAUAAUUAGAAAGUUAAAGAGAAAAGAUGACACAAAAACUCCCAAAACACAUUUCCAAAUAGCUACCAUAGUCACAUUCUUUUUUAAAAAAUUAUUAUGACUUGGGAGGCUGAGGCAGGCGGAUCACGGGGUCAGGAAAUCCAGACCAUCCUGGCUAACACGGUGAAACCCCGUCUCUACUAAAAGUACAAAAAAAAAAAUUAGCUGGGUGUAAGUGAUGGCAGGCACCUGUAGUCCCAGCUACUCGGGAGGCUGAGGCAGGAGAAUGCAGUGAACUCAGGAGGCGGACCUUGCAGCGAGCCGAGAUCGCGCCACUGCAAUCCAGCCUGGGUGAAAAAGUGAGACUCUGUCUCAAAAAAAAAAAAAAAUUAUUAUGACAAGCACAUUGUUUCAUAUCAUUAUGCUCCGAGGAUAAAAACGGUACACCUCAUUUUUCAUUUUGAUCAGUCUGUGUGUGGGGCAAGCAAAUAAAGGCAUUCAGUCUGGAAUCUUAAAAGUUUUCCUUUUAGCAAGAUGCCAUUUGUGGUGAUGUACCACCAAGUAGCAAAGAGGUCAGCCUCUCCAGUUAAAUAUAGCCUAAUUAUAUAGUUGAUAAAAAUAAAGGAAAAUGUACAUAUUUACUAUGAUUACUACUCAUGCUCAAAUAAAAUCCUGUCUUUGAAAUAGAAAUGAAACCCAAAGUAAAAAUAAAACAAGAAACUUAAUUCAAAAAUGUGAAUUAAGAUAGAAGCAAAUUUGGGAGGGGGUUAUUAUAGAGAAGCUGCCCUUCUUGCUUAGGGAGAGAGGAUAUUUGCUGGGAUGCAGAAAAACUCAUCAGGAUAUACAGAAGUGUUAUUGUCAAAACUGUAAGGAUCCUGUAGAAUAUACACCUGAGUAGGUUAACAGACUGAGCAGAAUGGCUAUACCUGAGUAAUUUAGUCAGAGCUAAGUGUAUGUUAACUAUCCAGGUUAGGCAGUGCCCUUCAGCUUUCUAGCCAUCCAAAUCUCUCGUUGACUGGAUGGUAAUUACUUGGACUACCUGGUUGGCAAUCCAUGUCCUCUAGUUUUUAUUUUCCUCUCUCCUAAUCUGUUGUUGUCCUUGUUCUUAAGAUUUCUAAGAGGUUGCUUACUCUAGCCUCCUCUGUAGUUAUCAGCGGUUUGCUUCUCUUGUGAGAAACUUGUUUGAAAGAUGAAUGAUUUGUACUUGUCAUAACUCUUACAAAGACUUCCACCAGGUGUACCAUGAGCAUGGCAUGCACCGUAGACUUCCACACCCUGCAGGCUUCCAAUAUUCCUUCCAAGCAAUCAGAAAGCAAGUUGCAUAUUAGCAUAUUUACAUAAACCCCUAUUUCACAAAGCAAAGUUUUUUCAAGUCUUCUUUUAAGUUUUAGAGGCAGGAUGACAUGCAGAGAGAACAAAACGGGAGUUAAGAAAUUAAAUAUUCAGGAUGCUAAGGAGUUAUUUGGUGGUGUCCAUAUGAAAGAGAGUAUUAAAGUACCAGGAAUCACUGGAGCAAGAGAAGAAGAAAGUGAAAUGAGGGGUACACUCGUAGAAGGUUUUGCAACUGAAUCUUGAGCAACAUAAAGGAAAAUAAAGCAAAGCCCCCAGAAGUUGGGAAGAUGAAUGCAUUUGGAUGAGUAUCAAGGUGGAAAUCAGAGGACCUGCCAGUGGAACCUCAGAAACCACCCAAGCUCUAAUGGGCUGUCACAAAACGGGAUGGUGAUGCUGACCACGUAAAUAGGUCAGCCACAUGCUUUUACCUCAGACUUCUAAGUCAUGCAAGGUCAGAGGCUACACCUCAGGUACUAUAGGAAGGGAAAGUGAAAGGAGUAAAUGUUACUAAUGUCAUUUUCAGUGAUCACACCUCUCUUCUUGGGCUAGGUACCCUGGAUGCCCCUUGAUCUCAGAAUAUGGCACCUUCAAGAGAAGGAUGGGGUUUACCACACAGAAAGAGAACCUCUGAGGUUUUCCCUUACCUCCAUAAAGAGUCUAAAGCUUGCUAUAGGAAAAAGUAAAGAAUAAUUCUUAUCUUUCCAAAAAGGCUUAGAGAUAGUAAACAAUACCAGUUUUCCAUCACAUUUCUAAACAAACAAAAAAGUAUAAGGGAAAUGUAACCACAUUGUCUUAGACCAUUCUUGCACUGCUAUAAAGAAAUACCUGAGACUGGGUAAUUUAUAAAGAAAAGAGGUUUAAUUGAAGUUCUGCAGGCUUUAUAGGAAGCAUGAUGCUGGCAUCUGCUUGCUUCUCAGGAAGCCUCAGGAAACUUAUAAUCAUGGUGGAAGGUAAAGGAAGAGCAAGCACAUCACAUGGCCAGAGCAGGAUCAAGAGACAGUGGGAGGAGAGAUGCCAUACACUUUUAAAUGACCAGAUCUUCUGAGAACUCACUAUUGUGAGAACAGUACCAAGAAGAUGAUACUAAAUCAUUCAUGAGAAAUCAACCACCAUGAUCUAAUCACCUCCCUGCAGGCCCCACAUCCAAUACUGGGGAUUAUAAUUCAACAUGAUAUUUGGGUGGGGACACACAUCCAAACUAUAUCACACGUGUAUUCUUUCCAGUGGGGAUACACACACUCAUUUUUCACUUUGUUUUUCAUUUCAAAUUUAGUACUUUGGCUAAAUUGUAAUAAUGUAAUAAUAAUGGAAUAAUGUAGUUUGUGAGCUACCCUCUAAUUGAGAGCAGAGGGAAAUAUGAUGAAAACAAGCCAAGGGCUUUCUGGGGAAAAGACCAUGGGCAAAAACUAUUUAUUACAAUUAGGAGAUCUGGUUUUAAUCUGGACUCUGAUAUUGUGAUCUUUAAAAAGUCAAUUGUGAUCUUUAAAAAGUCACUUUAAUUCUGUGGACCACAGUGAACUCAACCACAAUUUGCAGUUCAUCUGUACCCUCAGGACCCAGACAUCUCCUAGUACAUAGUAAGUAUUAUCAAGUAUUUGUUGAAGGAGAAAAAUAAAGACACUGAUUUAAUAGUCUCUCAAAUUUGUUCUGACUUUCUAUUGCCGGACUGUCCAAUACAACAGCUACAAGGUACAUGGGGCUACUUAAAUUUUAAUUUAAAUUCAUUAAAAUUUAAAAUUCAGUUCCUCAGUCACACUAGCUACAUUUCAAGUAUUCAAUAGGCACAUGUGAUGACUUGUGGCUACUGUACUGGACAGUGUAAAAUUAUGGAACAUUUCAGCAUUGCAGUCAGUUUUGCUGGACAGGAGUGCUCUCAGACAUAACUAAGGAGAAAGGCAACGCAUUGUACCCUCCUGUAGACACAGCUCUCUAUUCUAUGAAACUUCAUGAAAGGUUUACAGAGGGAACACGAGGAACUCAAGCAGAAAUUAAGCAUUCCCUUAGAGAACCAGUCUGUUUCUCUGCAUGUUGAAAGUACUGCUUCUCAGGAUAGUCUUCUCAACGAAUUGUGCUGAACAACCCGACUUCCAUAUGUAAAAAAAAAUGAAUCUAGAUACUAAUUUAUAAGAUAACAUAGAAGAAAAUCUAAGUGACCUUAGGUUUGGCAAUAGGUUGUUAGAUGUAACACCAAAAGCAUGAAAGAAAGAAAAAAUUGGUAAGUUGGACUCCAUUAAAAUUAAAAACUUCUACUCUAAGAAACACUGUUAAGAAAAAGACAAGUCAUUGACUAGGAGAAAGUAUUUGCAAAACACACAUCUGAUAAAAAACAUAUUCUAAAUAUAAAUAGAGCUCCUAAAACUCAACAAGAAAAAUAACCUAAUUAAAAGGUGGGCAAAAUAUCUGAACAGAUGCCUCAUCAAACAAGACAUAUAGAUGACAAAAAAUUAUAUGAAAAGAUGCUCAAUAUCAUAUGCAAUUAGGGAUUUGCAAUUUAAAACAACAAUGAGCUACAACCAUAUACAACAGCUAAAAUCCAUACUAACACCACCAAAUGCUGGUGAGGAUGUGGAGCAACAGGAACUCUCAUUCAUUGCUGGUGGGAAUGCAAAAUAAUCCACCCACACUGGUGGACAGUAAGGCAGUUUCUUAUAAAACUAAACAGAGUCUUAGCAUGUGACAAGGCAAUAGUUCUCCUUGGUAUUUACUCAAAUGAAUUGAAAACUUCUGUCCCCACAAAAGCUGCACACAAAUGUUUAAGCAACUUUAUUCAUAAUUGCCUAAAACUGGAGACAACCUAGAGGUCCUUCAAUAGGUGAAUGAGUAAACAAACUACGGUACAUCACAUAAUGCAGUAUUAUUAUUCAGGCUAAAAAGAAAUGAGCUAUUUCAAACUACAAAGACAUGAAGAAACAUUAAAUGCAAACUGCUAAAUGAAAGAAGCCAAUCUGAAAAGGCUAUAUACUGUAUGAUUCCAACUACAUGAAAUUCUAGAAAAUGUAAAACUAUGGAGACAGUAAAGAGAUGAGUGGUUGCCAGAGGUUGAGGAUUGGGGAGGAGUGAAUACGCAGAACACAGACUUUUAGGGCAGUGAAACUAUUCUGUAUAGUACUACAAUGAGAGCUACAUGUCAUUACACAUUUUUCAAAACCCACAGAAUGUACAAUAUAAAAAGUGAACUCUAAACUAUGGACUUUGGUUAAUAAUAUAUCAUAUUGGCUCCUUAACUGUACAAAGUGUACUACACUAAUGUGGGAAACUGAGGGGUAGGGGUAUAGCUUAUGGGAACUCAGUACUUUCUGUUCAUUGUUUCUGUAAAUCUGAAACUGCUUUUUAAAAAACGCCUAUUAAUUUACCAAAAAAGUAUUUCUCAGAAUUAGCUAUAAACUCUUAGUAUUAUCUAAGACAACAAUAAUCUGUUUUCACAAAGUAAAACAAGAAAUACUCCAAUUACGUGGUUUAAGAUGCAACGCAACACCCAAACAUUAGUCAAAAACAGCUUUCCUUUAAAGUUCAUAUGGAACCAAAAAACAGCCCGCAUCGCCAAGUC
rnacentral:lncRNA from 1 species